rnacentral:tRNA from 1 species
GGUUGCGGUAGUUUAUAAUAGGCUCCCAAUACAACUCGAAAUCGAGUAGACUGUGAUGAGCGGUCUCUAGGGUUCGAAUCCCUAACUCUCCGCCA